rnacentral:rRNA from 1 species
GUGUCAGCCGCCGCGGUAAUACGGAGGGUGCAAGCGUUAUCCGGAUUUAUUGGGUUUAAAGGGUGCGUAGGCGGUAUUUUAAGUCAGUGGUGAAAUGUUGCAGCUUAACUGUAGAAUUGCCAUUGAAACUGAAGUACUUGAGUUAUCUUGAGGUAGGCGGAAUGUGUAGUGUAGCGGUGAAAUGCUUAGAUAUUACACAGAACACCGAUUGCGAAGGCAGCUUACUAAGGAUAAACUGACGCUCAGGCACGAAAGCGUGGGGAUCGAACAGGAUUAGAUACCCUCGUAGUCC